rnacentral:rRNA from 1 species
AGAGUUUGAUCCUGGCUCAGGAUGAACGCUGGCUGUGUGCCUAAUACAUGCAUGUUGAACGAAGCUAAAAGUGCUUGCACUUUAAGACUUAGUAGCGAAUGGGUGAGUAACACGUACUUAACCUACCCCCAAGUUUGGGAUAACGUUUGGAAACGAACGCUGAUACCGAAUACGUAUUUUUAUCGCAUGAUAGAAAUAUAAAAGGAGCUUCGGCUUCGCUAGGGGAUGGGAGUGCGCUACAUUAGUUAGUUGGUAGGGUAAUGGCCUACCAAGACUAUGAUGUAUAGCGGGGCCGAGAGGCUGAUCCGCCACACUGGGACUGAGAUACGGCCCAGACUCCUACGGGAGGCAGCAGUAGGGAAUUUUCCACAAUGAACGAAAGUUUGAUGGAGCGACACAGCGUGCAGGAUGAAGGUCUUCGGAUCGUAAACUGCUGUUAUAAGGGAAGAAAAACUUUAGUAGGUAAUGACUAGAACUUGACGGUACCUUAUCAGAAAGCGACGGCUAACUAUGUGCCAGCAGCCGCGGUAAU